rnacentral:lncRNA from 1 species
UGGCUGCUGUGAAGAAAGGAGUCUCUUGUGGCCACAAAGGAAGAAGAAGGAGGGGUCUGGAGAGCCUCUGGAUCCAGGGUUAUUUGCUAAGGCUGAAGUCCGAGAUCCCUCUUGGACCACUCGUACCUGAAUUGCUCCCGGCCUGCUGGGUGCCAGGUGGCAUGGAGCUUCCCAGCCUUCACUCAGUUUGUUGACUACCAGGUGAACUCAGUUUCCAACUGCAGGACAUCAGAACAAGAUUCUGAAUGAAAACGUGUUCCCCCAGUAUGGAUUGAGAGCCACAGAAUCAUCUAUGAGAACCUGGCCACUCCAAGCAUAUGUCAGUAAGUCUGUGCCCUUUUAUUUUCUUGUGCUUCUCUAAGACUACGGGCAAGAGGCUGCAAUUCUUUUUCAAGGGCGUCUCCAAUUACCGCUCAUUAACUCUGAG